UAAUCGAUAAACCACGAAAAAUCUUACUUAUUUUAAAUAAUUUGUAUACCAUCAUUAUUAGAUAAAUUUUUAAAAAUAAUUUAUUUUAAUUAAAUUACUUUAAAUAUAUUAGAUCAAGGKGCAAUUAAUAAAUAARAAAAAAKGGGUUACAAUAAAAUUUUAUUUAUUAUAGAUUUUAUAAUUAAUUUUAUUUCUGAAAGAGGACUUAAUUGUAAUUUUAUUUUAAAAA
rnacentral:rRNA from 1 species